rnacentral:rRNA from 1 species
GCAUAUCAAUAAGCGCAGGAAAAGAAACCAACAGGGAUUGCCUCAGUAACGGCGAGUGAAGCGGCAACAGCUCAAAUUUGAAAUCUGGCCUCUUGGGGUCCGAGUUGUAAUUUGUAGAGGAUGUUUCGGGUACCGCCUCGGUUUAAAUUUCUUGGAACAGAAUGUCAAAGAGGGUGAGAAUCCCGUCUUGGACCGGCGGUAGGGCCUAUGUGAAACUCCUUCGACGAGUCGAGUUGUUUGGGAAUGCAGCUCAAAAUGGGUGGUAAAUUUCAUCUAAAGCUAAAUAUUGGCCAGAGACCGAUAGCGCACAAGUAGAGUGAUCGAAAGAUGAAAAGCACUUUGAAAAGAGAGUUAAACAGUAUGUGAAAUUGUUGAAAGGGAAGCGCUUGCAACCAGACUUGAGCGCGGCGGUUCCCCCUUGCUUCUGCUUGGGUUACUCCGCCGUGUCCAGGCCAACAUCGGUUCUGGGGGUCGGUCAAAGGCUCUGGGAAUGUAUCUACCCACGGGUAGACUUAUAGACCAGGGUGUCAUGCGACCUCCCGGGACCGAGGAACGCGCUUCGGCUCGGAUGUUGGCGUAAUGGUUGUCAGCGACCCGUCUUGAAACACGGACC